rnacentral:rRNA from 1 species
UUAAAUUGAAGAGUUUGAUCAUGGCUCAGAUUGAACGCUGGCGGCAGGCCUAACACAUGCAAGUCGAGCGGAAACGAGUUAUCAGAACC